UUUUAUUUAUUUAUUCAUGAGAGACACAGAGAGAGGCAGAGACACAGGCAGAGGGAGAAGCAGGCUCCCUGCAGGGAGCCCGACGUGGGACUCGAUCCCGGGACCCCAGGGUCACAGCCUGGGCUAAAGGCAGGCACUCAGCUGCUGAGCCCCUGGGGACCCCAGAAAGGAGCCUAUUUUAAGGAUUAGUGGCUAAGAUCGUGAAUUCUGGAACUGGUGUGUCUGAGUUUGAGUCCCAACACUGCCUCUACUGUGCGACCUCGGGCAAGUUAUUUAGCUCCUGUGCCCUGACUCCUCGCUGGGAAAAUAGGGCUCGUGAGCACAUGUAGUGCUCGAGGUUCUGUGGGUGACCGAACGCAACACACGCAGGUAUUUAGGUUGGGUUCAGUGCAGAGUAAGGCCUGUACGAGUAUCAGGGCUCAUUAUGACUUAGGGUUCUUGACUGACUACAUUCUAGAACAUACGGGGAUGCCAGCUGACAUGUUCCUGAGAGAUGCUAUAGCAGCGGCUUUCUAUGGUGUUUUCAAAUCCUCGGAAUCUGCUAAAUAUUUUUAAAGAGCAGGAAAACCGGGGAGGUGGCUUGUGUGUCAUCGCAAUACUGAUCACUGGGUGAGAAGUGCACUUGUGAGCUAGUCCAGGGCUGCCUGGCGACUGCGAGAGGCGAGGGCCUGGGAGCCGGCCACCUUCCCGAGCCCGGGGUCCGGGGCUGCACGCUUGUGGACACACCUGUCUCGGGUUAUUUGGAUUCCGGCUUCAAGGUACGGCCCUCGGCAGGGGACCCUUAAUACUAAACAUUCUGCUUUUUAGUGAUUGAGGCAACAAGCCGAAUAUGGCUAGUUUUGUCCCUGGUUAAAUAUAGCUGCACAGAUGUUUGACCAUAAUGGAAUAUUCGUGUCUGCAGUCCGGGGCUUCCGGAUUUUUUUUUUUAAUGACUUUUUUUCCUUUUUAAAGAUUUUAUUUAUCCAUUCAGGAUAGUUGCAGAGAGGAGAGAGAGAGAGGCCGAGACCCAGGCCGAGGGGGAAGCAGGCUCCUCGCAGGGAGCCCGAUGCGGGGCUCGAUCCUGGGGCCCGGGUCACGGCC
rnacentral:lncRNA from 1 species